GCGGGGGUGCCGGAGCGGCCAAACGGGCUAGCCUUAGGAGCUAGUGGCUUAGUGCCUGCAUAGGUUCAAAUCCUAUCCCCCGCA
rnacentral:tRNA from 1 species